GACGAACGCUGGCGGCGUGCCUAAUACAUGCAAGUUGAGCGCUGAAGGUUGGUACUUGUACCAACUGGAUGAGCAGCGAACGGGUGAGUAACGCGUGGGGAAUCUGCCUUUGAGCGGGGGACAACAUUUGGAAACGAAUGCUAAUACCGCAUAAAAACUUUAAACACAAGUUUUAAGUUUGAAAGAUGCAAUUGCAUCACUCAAAGAUGAUCCCGCGUUGUAUUUGCCAGUUGGUGAGGUAAAGGCUCACCAAGGCGAUGAUACAUAGCCGACCUGGGAGGGUGAUCGGCCACAUUGGGACUGAGACACGGCCCAAACUCCUACGGGGGGCAGCAGUAGGGAAUCUUCGGCAAUGGACGGAAGUCUGAACGGGCAACGCCGCGUGAGUGAAGAAGGUUUUCGGGUCGUAAAACUCUGUUGGUAGGGAAGAACGUUGGUGGGAGUGGAAAGCUCAUCAAGUGACGGUAACUACCCAGAAAGGGACGGCUAACUACGUG
rnacentral:rRNA from 1 species